GGGUCCGUAGCUCAGUUGGUUAGAGUACUACCUUGACAUGGUAGGGGUCGGCGAUUCGAGUUCGCCCGGCCCCACCA
rnacentral:tRNA from 1 species